rnacentral:lncRNA from 7 species
GACACUCCUUGUCCUCACUGCAGUCUCACUGUCCCCAAGCUGCUCCUGCCUCAUGGCACCAAUGGCAGUGGCCCUCAUCCUUGGUUGGUGGCUGGUGGCUGCGAGCAGGGCACAGCAACUGCCCCGACCCUCCCUGUCACUGCACCCCAGCCAGGGGGUGUCCCUGGGGGACAAUGUCACACUGCGCUGCCACCUGCCCCUGCCGGCUGCCUGGGUCUGGCUGUAUCUGGAAGGACGUAGGUCAUACGCCAAGUACAGUGACAAGAAGCAGGACACGACAGAGUUCUCCUUCCUUAGCACAAGUCGGGAACACGCAGGUACAUAUUCCUGCCAGUACCAGCUGUCUGAGUCAGAGGACGUAUCAGUGAUGAGUGACCCCGUGGAGCUGGUGCUGACAGAUCGCAUUUUCCCCCCACCUCAUAUCUCCCUUCACUCCGAGGAACUUGUGGGGACAGGGACCAAUGUCACCAUCCGCUGCUGGAACAAGGACUAUGGGGCCGCCUUCCUCCUGCACAAGGAUGGACACUCAGCUCCUAUCCAGCGCCUGGUCCCAGAUGAUGUUGGCGCAGUCUCCUUCACCCUCUUUGGGGUGACCCCAGCUGACAGUGGCACCUACAGGUGCUCCUAUCACCCCAAGAACCACCCCUUUCUGUCCUCACCCCUUGGGGACAGCGUAACGCUGGAGGUGACACCCACACCUGCACCCCAGGUGCUGAGUUGGUGUCCCGUGGGAACCUGGUGGUGGCAGUGGUGAGGGACUGGGCUGCUGUCCUCAUCUUUGCCCUCGGCAUCUUCUUUGUCAUCGAUGCCCGCAGCCUCUGGAUACGGAGAGAUGAGAGUCUGGGUGGAGAAGGGAUUUAAUGGCUUGGAUCUCCUGUACAUCUCCUACACAUCUCCCCAGUCUUUCUCUUACUCUCCUUCCAUUCUUCUGUAGAAUCCACCAGGUGUACCAUUGGAUCCACUAUACAUUGCCUAUCGAUUCCCUCAGAUGUUCCCUGCCCCCAUCCCAUCUCCUAUAAAUCCAUCAUUUAUCCCCUGCCUCCCCUUCCAGACCCUAUAAAUUAUCUAGU